GUGCUCACUCCAGCAGCACAUACACUCAUAUUGGAACAAUGCAGAGAUGGUUAGCAUGGCCCCUGCGCAAGGAUGACAUGCAAAUUCAUGAAGCGUUCCUUAUUUUU